CAGCAGCCGCGGGAAUACAGAGGUCCCGAGCGUUGUUCGGAUUCACUGGGCGUAAAGGGUGUGUAGGAGGUUGGAUAAGUCAGGUGUGAAAUCCCGCAGCUCAACUGCGGAACUGCAUUCGAUACUGUUCAACUAGAGGAUCGGAGGGGGAAGCGGAAUUCUUGGUGUAGCGGUGAAAUGCGUAGAUAUAUGGAGGAACACCGGUGGCGAAAGCGGCUCUCUGGCUUGUAACUGACGCUGAGGCUCGAAAGCGUGGGGAGCAAACAGGAUUAGAUACCCCCGUAGUCCCUGUCUCUUAUAC
rnacentral:rRNA from 1 species